rnacentral:rRNA from 1 species
AGCAAUGCCGCGUGAACGAAGAAGGUUCUCGGAUCGUAAAGUUCUGUUGUAAGGGAAGAACACGUACGGGAGUAACUGCCCGUACCUUGACGGUACCUUAUUAGAAAGCCACGGGCUAACUACGUGCCAGCAGCCGCGGUAAUACGUAGGUGGCAAGCGUUGUCCGGAAUUAUUGGGCGUAAAGCGCGCGCAGGCGGUCUUUUAAGUCUGAUGUGAAAGCCCACGGCUCAACCGUGGAAGGUCAUUGGAAACUGGGAGACUUGAGUACAGAAGAGGAAAGCGGAAUUCCACGUGUAGCGGUGAAAUGCGUAGAGAUGUGGAGGAACACCAGUGGCGAAGGCGGCUUUCUGGUCUGUAACUGACGCUGAGGCGCGAAAGCGUGGGGAGCAAACAGGAUUAGAUACCCUGGUAGUCCACGCCGUAAACGAUGAGUGCUAAGUGUUAGGGGGUUUCCGCCCCUUAGUGCUGCAGCUAACGCAUUGAGCACUCCGCCUGGGGAGUACGGCCGCAAGGCUG